ACGUAAGGGGCAAGCGUUAUCCGGAUUUACUGGGUGUAAAGGGAGCGUAGACGGUUUGGCAAGUCUGAUGUGAAAGGCAUGGGCUCAACCUGUGGACUGCAUUGGAAACUGUCAGACUUGAGUGCCGGAGAGGCAAGCGGAAUUCCUAGUGUAGCGGUGAAAUGCGUAGAUAUUAGGAGGAACACCAGUGGCGAAGGCGGCCUGCUGGACGGUAACUGACGUUGAGGCUCGAAAGCGUGGGGAGCAAACAG
rnacentral:rRNA from 1 species